UCCGAUGCUGAUGCCGCCUUUGAGUCCU
rnacentral:piRNA from 1 species